AUUGAACGCUGGUGGCAUGCUUAACACAUGCAAGUCGAACGGUAACGAUCGAGAUAAUUUCUUCGGAGAUUAUUUUGAGGCGACGAGUGGCGGACGGGUGAGUAAUACGCAGGAAUCUACCCGUGUAGUGGGGAAUAGCCCGAGGAAACUCGGAUUAAUACCGCAUAAGUCCUACGGGAGAAAGUCGGGGAUCCCUUCGGGGACCUGACGCUAUCGGAUGAGCCUGUGCCUGAUUAGUUUGUUGG
rnacentral:rRNA from 1 species